rnacentral:rRNA from 1 species
UACGAAGGGGGGCUAGCGUUGCUCGGAAUUACUGGGCGUAAAGGGCGCGUAGGCGGAUAGUUUAGUCAGAGGUGAAAGCCCAGGGCUCAACCUUGGAAUUGCCUUUGAUACCGACUAUCUUGAGUUCGGGAGAGGUGAGUGGAAUGCCGAGUGUAGAGGUGAAAUUCGUAGAUAUUCGGAAGAACACCAGUGGCGAAGGCGACUCACUGGCCCGUUACUGACGCUGAGGCGCGAAAGCGUGGGGAGCAAACAGGG